CCGGGCCUGUACACACGCCCGUCACACCAUGGGAGUUGGUUUCGACUUAAGCUGGUGCGCCAACCGUAAGGGGGCAGCCAACCACGGUCGGGUCAGCGACUGGGUG
rnacentral:rRNA from 1 species